GGGGAAUAUUGCACAAUGGGCGAAAGCCUGAUGCAGCAACGCCGCGUGAGUGAUGAAGGUCUUCGGAUUGUAAAGCUCUGUCUUUUGGGACGAUAAUGACGGUACCAAAGGAGGAAGCCACGGCUAACUACGUGCCAGCAGCCGCGGUAAUACGUAGGUGGCGAGCGUUGUCCGGAUUUACUGGGCGUAAAGGGUGCGUAGGCGGAUGUUUAAGUGAGAUGUGAAAUACCCGGGCUUAACUUGGGUGCUGCAUUUCAAACUGGAUAUCUAGAGUGCAGGAGAGGAGAAUGGAAUUCCUAGUGUAGCGGUGAAAUGCGUAGAGAUUAGGAAGAACACCAGUGGCGAAGGCGAUUCUCUGGACUGUAACUGACGCUGAGGCACGAAAGGCGUGGGUAGCAAACAGGAUUAGAUACCCUGGUAGUCCACGCCGUAAACGAUGAGUACUAGGUGUAGGAGGUAUCGACCCCUUCUGUGCCGCAGUAAACACAUUAAGUACUCCG
rnacentral:rRNA from 1 species